UGAUAUACGCCGUGAUUUACAUGAUCGUGAUUUGGUUGUUUAAGCACAACAAGUGGUAUGGCAUAUACACUCUCACUGACCAUACAUUAACCAACCAAAUCGUGAUUAUCCUCACAACAAGUGGUAUGCCAUAUACUUCCUCACCUUCAGAAUAUUGUACCAUUUUGUGGGUUCAGUCCACUUACAAUUGAUAUUCCAAUGGAAUUCCCAUACGCGUAUGGUAGAUGCAAUACCAUUUUGUGGGUUCAGUCCACCUACAUUUUUCUAUAAUAAAAAGAGGUAUGCAUCAAUUCCAAUGGUGUUCCCAAAAUUCUGAUACAGUAUCUAUUGUACUGUAGGUUUACAGUACACAUAUUUUUAGAAGCAUCUACCUCAAGGAACAAUUGCUGACUUGGGUGACAGAAUCAUGACUGAACUAGAGCUCUCACCAUGUUUGAGUCAAUACAGGAAACCUCAAGCUACCUUCUAUCAAGACCUGAAAAUGCAGUGCUGAAAAUGGGAGCUACAGGUGGUUCACGUUUCUGCUAUAUUAUUUCUUUUGCAGUGAGCUGGCUCUGUGUUCCCUUUGGUAGCUCAAGGAGGCUCCUUUCAACGUUUGCAUGGUUUGUUCAGUUUCUGUCCAUUUUGUGUUCCGAUUUCGGUGGCCUCUUAAUUUUCUAUUUCUCGGUCUUGUUUUUAUGUAUAUUUUUCAGCUUUGCAUGGGAAUUCUUUUAGUAUUCCUGGGUCUUUAUGUUGAUCAGUUCAUUCACACGGUUUAUCUACAGAUUCGCCCUUUGCGGCCUUGUGGGUGAUGGUUCCUCUAGGAAACCGAUUAAUCUUCACUUAGUUUGUGCCAUUUGUUUUUUCUAAUCUAUAUUGUUUUCUGUGGGAUACACCUUAACUAUAGGACUUGCUUCUGCUCUAAGAGGUAGAACAUGCAGAUCAAAUUGCAGAAAUUCUACAACCAUGACAAAUUAUUAAUUUAACUUGCUUGACAUGGGCACAUGACAUAUACCAUGGCAUUGAAGGUUGAGUGGUGUCAAUGCCUUGGCAUCUACCUGUUGUAUCAGUCUAAGCUGAGAUAACCGGUCCUAUGUCAGGCGUAAUUGAGCUGCUAGAGUUACUAAAACAUGAAGGUACUAUUUUUCCUUUUCCUAAUGGUUUAACACAAUUGUUUAUAGCAUGUUUCACAAAUUAUUUGCAUGAAGUGCAAAACUUGGGUGCCCAACCAGGUUGAUCGGUCCCUUAGCUCACUGCCUGAUUCUUCUGUUGGAUCAGAAGAAUCAACGAUCAUUGCCAAAUUUUCAGAAUCAAGUUGAACCACUUUCAAAGAAAAUUAUGAGUCAGGUCCUGCCAAGAGAAGUUCAGGAACUGGCCCUUCACAUUGCAGCAUCGGCAUUAUCCAGUUUGUCAUGGGCUCAUGGCUAUUAAUAAAAGUCAGAGCCAGGCACUUAAUAGGGUGGGCGUCUACCUGCCAAAGCUGGCUUUUUCGCAUGGCCAGUUUUAUGUUGUGAUCUCAAGAGUGACAUGACGAGAGAAGGAUUGGAAGUGCUUGCGCUUGAUGAGUCUGGGAUACCAACGUGUAGACAAGAAAUAUAUUGAACCGGGGAGUAGUCGGUUAUCUCUAGACAUUGCUGCUUAUACAUAUUGUUCCAUUUGCUUUUGUGAAAAGCAUACUACAGUUAAAAUGACAGCUCAUCAGAUCUUGGUGAUACAGUGCAAAUAAUUGAUUAUGUGCUAGCUCCAUUUGCUUUUGUGAAAAAAGCAGCCCAUCAU